ensembl:lncRNA
CCCCUGUAUAUAGCCUCCACAUUGACUCUGUACCGGUACACCCCUGUAUAUAGCCUCCACAUUGACUCUGUACCGGUACCCCCUGUAUAUAGACUCCACAUUGACUCUGUACCGGUACCCCCUGUAUAUAGACUCCACAUUGACGCUGUACCGGUACCCCCUGUAUAUAGCCUCCACAUUUAGCCUCCACAUUGACUCUGUACCGGUACCCCCUGUAUAUAGCCUCCACAUUGACUCUGUACCAGUACCCCCUGUAUAUAGCCUCCACAUUGACUCUGUACCGGUACCCCCUGUAUAUAGCCUCCACAUUGACUCUGUACCGGUACCCCCUGUAUAUAGCCUCCACAUUGACUCUGUACCGGUACCACCUGUAUAUAGCCUCCACAUUGACUCUGUACCGGUACCCCCUGUAUAUAGCCUCCACAUGGACUCUGUACCGGUACCCCCUGUAUAUAGCCUCCACAUUGACUCUGUACUGCUACCCGCUGUAUAUAGCCUCCACAUGGACUCUGUACUGUAACCCCCUGUAUAUAGCCUCCAUAUUGACUCUGUACCGGUACCCCCUGUAUAUAGCCUCCACAUUGACUCUGUACCGUAACACACUGUAUAUAUUCUCCACAUUGACUCUGUACCGGUAACCCCUGUAUAUAGCCUCCACAUUGACCCGGUACCGGUACCCCCUGUAUAUAGCCUCCACAUUGACUCUGUACCGGUACCCCCUGUAUAUAGCCCCCACAUUGACUCUGUACCGGUACCCCCUGUAUAUAGCCUCCACAUUGUCUCUGUACCGUAAUACCCUGUAUAUAGCCUCCACAUUGACUCUGUACAUUAACACCCUGUAUAUAGCCUCCACAUUGACUCUGUACCUGUACCCCCUGUAUAUAGCCUCCACAUUGACUCUGUACCGGUACCCCCUGUAUAUAGCCUCCACAUUGACUCUGUACCGGUAUCCCCUGUAUAUAGCCUCCACAUUGACUCGGUACCGGUACCCCCUGUAUAUAGCCUCCACAUUGACUCUGUACCGGUACCCCCUGUAUAUAGCCUCCACAUUGACUCUGUAUCAGUACCCCCUGUAUAUAGCCUCCACAUUGACUCUGUACCGGUACCCCCUGUAUAUAGCCUCCACAGUGACUCGGUACCGGUAUCCCUUGUAUAUAGCCUCCACAUUGAGUCUGUACCGGUACCCCCUGCAUAUAGCCUCCACAUUGACUCUGUACCGUAACACCCUGUAUAUAGCCUCCACAUUGACUCUGUACCGUAAUACCCUGUAUAUGCCUCCACAUUGACUCUGUACCGGUACCCCCUGUAUAUAGCCUCCACAUUGACUCUGUACCGGUACCCCCUGUAUAUAGCCUCCACAUUGACUCUGUACCGGUACCCCUGUAUAUAGCCUCCACAUUGACUCUGUACCGGUACCCCCUGUAUAUAGACUCCACAUU